CUGCCUGGUAGUGGGGGACAACGUUUCGAAAGGAACGCUAAUACCGCAUACGUCCUACGGGAGAAAGCAGGGGACCUUCGGGCCUUGCGCUAUCAGAUGAGCCUAGGUCGGAUUAGCUAGUUGGUGAGGUAAUGGCUCACCAAGGCUGCGAUCCGUAACUGGUCUGAGAGGAUGAUCAGUCACACUGGAACUGAGACACGGUCCAGACUCCUACGGGAGGCAGCAGUGGGGAAUAUUGGACAAUGGGCGAAAGCCUGAUCCAGCCAUGCCGCGUGUGUGAAGAAGGUCUUCGGAUUGUAAAGCACUUUAAGUUGGGAGGAAGGGCAGUAAGUUAAUACCUUGCUGUUUUGACGUUACCGACAGAAUAAGCACCGGCUAACUUCGUGCCAGCAGCCGCGGUAAUACGAAGGGUGCAAGCGUUAAUCGGAAUUACUGGGCGUAAAGCGCGCGUAGG
rnacentral:rRNA from 1 species